rnacentral:rRNA from 1 species
CUACCGGGGUAUCUAAUCCCGUUUGCUCCCCUGGCUUUCGCGCCUCAGCGUCAGAAGGGAUCCAGCACGCCGCCUUCGCCACCGGAGUUCCUAUGGAUAUCAACGCAUUUCACCGCUCCACCCACAGUUCCGCGUGCCCCUAUCCCCCUCGAGAUCGUCAGUAUCCGAGGCCGUUCUCCCGUUGAGCGGGAGGAUUUCACCCCGGACUUGACAGCCCGCCUACGCGCCCUUUAAGCCCAGUGAUUCCGAACAACGUUCGCACGGUUCGUCUUACCGCGGCUGCUGGCAC